rnacentral:lncRNA from 1 species
CAUACAUGUGACAGAGUUGUCAAGCCACAACUGGAGAUUUGGAAAUUUUCAGCUGGAGUUUAGGUCUCAAAACUGGAGAUUUAUUAUCGACCUUUUAUCGACGUACGCAAUGAUUUUUUUGUGUGUUUAAACUGCAUAUCUUCCUUUUUUUUGGUUAAAGGAACAAUAAUUCCAUACCUUUCAACACCUGAUACUAGAUAAAAAUAGAAGAUAAGGGGUUUUCAAAAAUUUAUUCAUUAUGUAUAAUUCAAAAUAAAGUGAUCAGCCAUCAUACAUAGUUGGCAAAAAGUAUCUCUGAUAAAGCUAAAUUGUCAACUUUGGUACCACUACUGGCUUGUAACAGAAGGUGUUAAAUUGAUAGAUAUGUCAUCUAAUCGGUGUUUCUCAAAUACGACCUAGAUAAUAUAUCUGCUAUAUACAUAUAUUUGCCCUGCUUGUACAUAAGUACUAUAUCAUAACGCUAUGAAUCUCCAAACAUUAUUUGUGAACUUUUGGGAGCGUGAUAUAUCGACUUUUUAACAAAAUUUCCAGGGUAAAACACUAUAAUGUCACACUCUUGGAAGCAAACUCGCUUUGGGGAUAAUUCUGUUUCGCUUUUCCA